UCCUUGUUUCCAAGGCAGUCCCAUCAGAGUGCCUCCGAAGAGUAGCAACUGAUGGCAAGGGUUGCGCUCGUUAAAGGACUUAACCCAACAUCUCACGACACGAGCUGACGACAGCCAUGCAGCACCUGUGUAACCGUCCAUGUUUCCAUGGAACCCAAUGUUUCUAUCAGUAGCAGUUACAUGUCAAGCCUAGGUAAGGUUCCUCGCGUAGUGUCGAAUUAAACCACAUGUUCCACCGCUUGUGCGGACCCCCGUCAAUUUCUUUGAGUUUUAGCCUUGCGACCGUACUCCCCAGGCGGAUCACUUAACGCGUUAGCUCCGACACUGAAUUUGCUAAGCAAAUCCAACAUCUAGUGAUCAUCGUUUACGGCGUGGACUAC
rnacentral:misc_RNA from 1 species